GUCCGGACUGCAGGAACCGUGCGAUCAGAAAUGCCAAAUCCAGCUGUGGGUGAAACACCCAGGAAAAGGGGUGGCUCUGUGUCCCUGUGUGCUCUGGGCUCUGCCAGCAGAAGGACCAGGGGAAUGAUGUCAGGUCCAUCCUCAGCAUCUCUGAAUUCCAACUUUGUGCCUCAAAAUGCCUGGAACCCCUCAAGUUUUAUAGCAGCAAAAUUACUACUGGGUGUAGGUGACCAGAAGCCUGGGCACAAAGUAUCUCAAUGCAACUGGGAAUUCAUCACCUCUCUCCCUUGGACAUGCAAAUUUUACUGGAACUCCUCAGCUAAGUAAACAAUUUUAAUAAAAUUACAUCCCUCUGUAUCCAUACCCCUUUCCAUAAAAAAAGUUUUGAGAAUGUUUUAUGUUUCAAUUAUAUUUUUCAUUUUACAAAAAUAU